AAAGAAUUUACGUUACCUCAGCUGAAGACAAACGUAGAAGUGAAAAGCGGCGUUGUGGCUUCAAAUAACCCUAUAAAUAGCCCCCCAUUGAUUAAGGUAAGUACAUUACCUUUAUUCUGUGUCAUAAUAACAGCACUAUUUGUCAGGUAAAUUUGGAAAGCAUCUUGGAGUUUAUCGGCAAGUGCAAAUUAUGAUCGUCAAGUUCACAGCGUCAACGACAUGAUUUAAACCUGACAAACGUUUAUGCUGUAAACAAUGUAACAUUUUUGAUACUUGUUAAAAUGUUGACGAAUUUAUAAUUAUAUAGAUGUAUAUUUCACUGUAUUACUGUACAGUAUGUACUGUAUGUUAUUCGGCUUUGUGUCAGCAAAAUGUAGGCCACUGUGGUGUGGGUUUGAAUUUCUAAUUUGAAACUGCCUGUUUACUUAGUUGCCUAGUUCAUAUUCACCACAUCUGAAGUAAGCGUUCACUAUUGCCUCCAGAAGUAUUUGGACUCUACUUUUUUUCUGCUGCAGUUCAGGGGCGCAGCAGGAUCUUCUCUUUUAAAUUUCCACAUGUGCUUUCAAGAACAAGCACAAGGAGUUUGUCCUCAAGUCUCUGGUGGGAUGGAGUCUUGAAUUCAAUGCAACAGAUGCAUCUCACUUACGACUGAAGUGUCCAGUCCUUCAGCAUUCACCGUCUCAGUGGAGUCAAAUGUUAAAUGAUGAUCAGGAUGAGCUGAGAAAGCAAUUACAGAGAAGAAGAGAAGUGACAAUGCAGGCAAAUGGGUGAUCAAGAUGAUCCAGAAUGGUUCACCUUUGGGUAAUCUUAAGGUUAGUGAGAUUUCUGUCAUAUACUGAAUGUAUUACAUUUGCUAUGAAUGAUACCUCAAAUAAUGUUUGCUUGUUAAAGAAAG